AAUCCCGGUACGCCAGUGGCGGCGGCGGUGUGGCGGACCGCGGACGGCGCGGGCGCGCUACCCGUGAUGGCAGACCGGGAUCUACGCCUAUGGUCUAUAUCGAUAUUACCUGUCAGUGCGUUCGUACAACUUAAACGUCCGUGUGUUUCGUAUAAACUUUAUGCGUCGUGAAUUAUUUACAAUCGAAUGUAGUUUGAUGGAUGAACACUUCACAUUAUACGGUUUAUAAUGCAGUUACGAUGUUCAUUUUGAUCAAACAGUAUAAGGUUUAUUUUAGUCGGUUUUUGACGUCAUCAAGUUUAGUGUAGUAAAAAAAAAUCUUCAAAAAUGAUGCAAGGAUUGUUGGAUUCGCUGUAC